UACGAAGGGGGCUAGCGUUGCUCGGAAUUACUGGGCGUAAAGGGCGCGUAGGCGGACAGUUUAGUCAGAGGUAAAAGCCCAGGGCUCAACCUUGGAACUGCCUUUGAUACUGACUGUCUUGAGUUCGGGAGAGGUGAGUGGAAUGCCGAGUGUAGAGGUGAAAUUCGUAGAUAUUCGGCGGAACACCAGUGGCGAAGGCGACUCACUGGCCCGAUACUGACGCUGAGACACGAAAGCCAGGGGAGCGAACGGG
rnacentral:rRNA from 1 species